rnacentral:rRNA from 1 species
GAUGAACGCUAGCUAUAGGCUUAACACAUGCAAGUCGAGGGGAAACGGCAUUAUGUGCUUGCACAUUUUGGACGUCGACCGGCGCACGGGUGAGUAUCGCGUAUCCAACCUGCCCUUUACUUGGGGAUACCCCGUUGAAAGACGGCCUAAUACCCGAUGUAAUUCAUUGAUGGCAUCAGAUAUGAAUAAAAGAUUUAUCGGUAAAGGAUGGGGAUGCGUCUGAUUAGCUUGUUGGUGAGGUAAAGGCUCACCAAGGCAACGAUCAGUAGGGGUUCUGAGAGGAAGGUCCCCCACAUUGGAACUGAGACACGGUCCAAACUCCUACGGGAGGCAGCAGUGAGGAAUAUUGGUCAAUGGGCGCAAGCCUGAACCAGCCAAGUAGCGUGCAGGAAGACGGCCCUAUGGGUUGUAAACUGCUUUUAUACGAGAAUAAUUUGAUGCACGUGUGCGUUAUUGCAUGUAUCGUAUGAAUAAGGACCGGCUAAUUCCGUGCCAGCAGCCGCGGUAAUACGGAAGGUCCAGGCGUUAUCCGGAUUUAUUGGGUUUAAAGGGAGUGUAGGCGGUUUGUUAAGCGUGUUGUGAAAUUUAGGUGCUCAACAUUUAACUUGCAGCGCGAACUGGCGAACUUGAGUGCACACAACGUAUGCGGAAUUCAUGGUGUAGCGGUGAAAUGCUUAGAUAUCAUGAAGAACUCCGAUUGCGAAGGCAGCAUACGGGAGUGUAACUGACGCUUAAGCUCGAAGGUGCGGGUAUCGAACAGG